CUCAGGAUGAACGCUAGCUACAGGCUUAACACAUGCAAGUCGGGGGGGAAACGAUAGAGAAAGCUUGCUUUUUCUAGGCGUCGACCGGCGCACGGGUGAGUAACGCGUAUCCAACCUGCCCACACUUGGGGAUAACCUUGCGAAAGUAAGACUAAUACCCAAUGACGUCUCUAGAAGACAUCUGAAAGGGAUUAAAGAUUUAUCGGUGAUGGAUGGGGAUGCGUCUGAUUAGCUUGUUGGCGGGGUAACGGCCCACCAAGGCUACGAUCAGUAGGGGUUCUGAGAGGAAGGUCCCCCACAUUGGAACUGAGACACGGUCCAAACUCCUACGGGAGGCAGCAGUGAGGAAUAUUGGUCAAUGGGCGAGAGCCUGAACCAGCCAAGUAGCGUGCAGGACGACGGCCCUAUGGGUUGUAAACUGCUUUUUAUAAGGGAAUAAAGUGAGUCUCGUGAGACUUUUUGCAUGUACCUUAUGAAUAAGGACCGGCUAAUUCCGUG
rnacentral:rRNA from 1 species